rnacentral:lncRNA from 1 species
CAGGGGAAAAAUCUGUGAUUGACCUGGCUGAGACCUUCGCCCCAUACGCUUCUGGGCAUCCCGAGAGAUCCAAGACUCUGGGGUCCAUCCGGGGAGUGGCUGUGGAGCAGCUAAGAGGGGAAGUGGGCAUUAGACAUGUCCUCUCUGGAAAGAAAAAGGUGAACACCCAGGAGAAGAGCUAGCAGGGAGAAGGAGGAGCGGGCCAAUCACGAAGGAGAAAGUCCUAGAUGGAGCCUUCUCAUCCUCAGAAACCACACUGGUUAAAUCAGUGGAUCUUAACUUUGGCUGCAUAUCGGCAUCACCACAGGAAGUUUCAAAAAUUCCAGUGCCUGAGUCCCACCACAGGGUCUUUGGUGGCUCAGAUGAACCAAUCCCAGUGCCUUCUAACAGUUGGAGAGUAAGAAGGAUCCUGGAGCGGGGGAACUUCUGACAGCUCCUGCUCAUCCCCGGAGAAGACAGAAGCCCAUCACCUGGUACACUUCAGAGGAACACGCACCUGACAGCCAAGGAGAACUGGGCAGUAGUCCUCGGAUGUUGGGCGUCAUUUUCCGUGGGCAGUUGGGAGUCACUGUGCUUCUCCCACAAAAACUCUUCUCACAGUCCAACUUGUAUACAAACCCAUCAGACUGCUAGCCCCAGGGCAGGUACCUACCUAUCUUCCUGUCCCAGUACUGAGGGGCUCAAUAACUAUUGUUAACCUGAAGACACCGAAAACCUUGACAGCGCUGAGCUUGUUACAGCACCAUCUUGCUGUGUGUCCAUGUGCAGGUGCAACUGUACGUGAGAUCAGCGGCCAACCACCACCCUUUCCCAGGCCACACUCCAUCAGCAAGAGACUAUGCUACACCCCAAGACGAGAUGCAGCCAAUAAACAUGUCUAUGUAUUGACCUGAAAAAGAUGUCUUC